GACGAACGCUGGCGGCGUGCCUAAUACAUGCAAGUUGAGCGCUGAAGGUUGGUACUUGUACCGACUGGAUGAGCAGCGAACGGGUGAGUAACGCGUGGGGAAUCUGCCUUUGAGCGGGGGACAACAUUUGGAAACGAAUGCUAAUACCGCAUAAAAACUUUAAACACAAGUUUUAAGUUUGAAAGAUGCAAUUGCAUCACUCAAAGAUGAUCCCGCGUUGUAUUAGCUAGUUGGUGAGGUAAAGGCUCACCAAGGCGAUGAUACAUAGCCGACCUGAGAGGGUGAUCGGCCACAUUGGGACGGAGACACGGCCCAGACUCCUACGGGAGGCAGCAGUAGGGAAUCUUCGGCAAUGGACGAAAGUCUGACCGAGCAACGCCGCGUGAGUGAAGAAGGUUUUCGGAUCGUAAAACUCUGUUGGUAGAGAAGAACGUUGGUGAGAGUGGAAAGCUCAUCAAGUGACGGUAACUACCCAGAAAGGGACGGCUAACUACGUG
rnacentral:rRNA from 1 species